UUGAGUUUUUGCGGAAUAGUCCCCAGCCCUCUCCGAUUCUCUCUCUCUGUUUCCCUUCAGACCCGGCGGUUUCCGCCGACCCGACCCGGCCCUAUCUUCCUCCUCCGGCGUCCUCCGGCAACGACCCGGCCAUCCCCAUGAUCGCCGCUCCACGCUGAGGCUCCCUCUGGUGUCGCCUUGCUCCGCCGCUGCCCCGAAAGCCGGAUCGAAGAAGCUCAGUCGUGCGAUCGGACCCGGCCGGAAAACUACUUUUCCGGCGAUGCAUGGGCCGAUCCUUCCCAUUUUCGUGAUCUCCUCCUCCCCCUGAUCAUCCUCAUAUCCUCCUUGCUCGACGAUUUUGAGUGUGGAGUGAAAGAUCACAAGUUGAAGUUUGGACGUCCCUGAUUCAAUCUGGAAACGUGAUCGACGGCCGUGAUUAAUCCAAACUUCAAAGCUUGAUCUAGGGCGAUCUAGACCGAAUCUCGCUUAGCUCCAGAAGAUGAGAUCACGACAGUGAAACAAGCUAUGGGGAGCUGGGUAAUGUGGCCGAGAAACCUGAUCAUAUUUAAUGAAAAGAAAAAAGCGGGUGCUAAAGCAAGUAGGAAGCAGAAAAGGAAUCAGCUUAAUUACGCAAGAUUCAGAAGAAGAGUUUGACUUGCAGUCACUCGAAUCACAGUUGCCAGCCGCAUUGCAGAGGUUAUGUUAAUGGGGGAAAAGAAGGGUUCAAAGAUGGAAAAGCUGUUUGCUUUUAUAAAGAAGAGCCUGUGUUUGGUAUUAAUGCUAAGAGCUAUCUACUUGACUUAGAUGUGAUGAGGCUUGCAAACAUGGCAGAGGUAACAGGAACCCUCAUAGUGCUGUACAUGAGGUACUUGUAUGAUGUAUUAAAAGAGUCCAAAAUGCUAGACAUGGUUGGUUUCAUUGACCCUGCAAUGACUGGUGAGAAAGGGUGUGGGAGUGCAACAUCGAGGUCCCGAAGUGUAAAAGAUUGCCUCAUAAGUGCUUCUCCAAAUCAGAUUUCCUUAUUGCCUUACAAUGCAUCUGUUCAUUGGAUGUUGACUGUGAUCGAUCCGGACAAUGAAAUUGUCUAUUUUAUGGAUCCAUUGAGAAGACGCCUGUAGGCGGAGAAUGGAAAGGUAUUGUUGACAUUGCCAUAUCAAUGUUUAAAAGGGAACGUAACAAGAAAGGACGAAGUUCUGUUCAAUGGAAGAACAUGGCAGGUAUUCCAUCACAGCCAAAUGACAAACAAUGCGGUUAUUUUGUGAUGAGAUAUAUGAGGGAUAUCAUCCAUGAUACAGACCUGUCAUUUGCAGAUAAGUGGGCUAGGAGAGCCAACCAUGUUUAUGGUCAAGUGGAAAUUGAUGAAGUGCGUAAUGAGAUCGCAAAUUAUGUGGUGAAGAACAUCCUCAAGCUGUAAAGUAUGUAGUUACUCAUGCCGUAGAAGCUCUGAAGUGAAAUAGGGAGGAAAUGUGUUUUUGUGCUCUGAAGUGACAAUUUAAAGUACAUUUCUGGACCUAUUUUGUUAGUGGUGUAGUAUAAAUGUGCUCCAUCUUUUGGUAUUGGAGUAUUAUAGAUAUUCUCCUUAUUUUGCAUUGUCUAAUCCAUUUAGGUACAAUU